rnacentral:rRNA from 1 species
GACGAACGCUGGCGGCGUGCUUAACACAUGCAAGUCGAGCGGAAAGGCCCUUCGGGGUACUCGUGCGGCGAACGGGUGGGUAACACGUGAGUAACCUGCCCUAGACUUUGGGAUAACCCUCGGAAACGGGGGCUAAUACCGGAUACUCCUUCUAAAUCGCCUGAUUUGGUUGGGAAAGUUUUUCGGUCUGGGAUGGACUCGCGGCCUAUCAGCUUGUUGGCGGGGUAAUGGCCUACCAAGGCGGGGAUGGGUAGCCGGCCUGAGGGGGGGAACGGCCACACUGGAGGUGAGAGACGGUCCAGGGUCUUACGGGAGGCAGCGGUGGCGAAGGGUGGACAAAGGGGGGAAGCCUGAUCCAGGCAUAGCGGGUGGAUGAAGCAGGCCUUCGGGUUGUAAAGCCCUUUUGUGGGGAAAGAAAAGCAGCAGCUGAAAACCACGCUGUUCUGACGGUACCCAAAGAAUAAGCACCGGCUAAUUUCGU